GACGUAGGAUGCGAGCGUUGUCCGGAAUCAUUGGGCGUAAAGAGUUCGUAGGUGGCAUAUCAAGUCUGGUGUUAAAGCCCGGAGCUCAACUCCGGUUCGGCACUGGAUACUGGUAAGCUAGAGUGCAGUAGAGGCAAGGGGAAUUCCCAGUGUAGCGGUGAAAUGCGUAGAUAUUGGGAGGAACACCGGUGGCGUAAGCGCCUUGCUGGGCUGUUACUGACACUGAGGAACGCAGGCCAGGGGAGUAAAUGGG
rnacentral:rRNA from 1 species